AAUCCCUGAGGGGAUUAAAUUUAAAUCCUAAAAAAGAUUCGGUCGUGUACUGUUAAUCCCAAAAAGAUUUAGAUCUAAGUCCAUAUUUUUAUCUGUGCUGACUCAGAAAACCAUAUCAGA